rnacentral:rRNA from 1 species
AGAGUGAACGCUGGCGGUAGGCCUAACACAUGCAAGUCGAACGGCAGCACGGUAAGAGCUUGCUCUUAUGGGUGGCGAGUGGCGGACGGGUGAGGAAUACAUCGGAAUCUACCUUUUGGUGGGGGAUAACGUAGGGAAACUUACGCUAAUACCGCAUACGCCCUUCGGGGGAAAGCCGGGGACCAGCAAUGGCCUGGCGCUGAUAGAUGAGCC